rnacentral:tRNA from 1 species
GGAGAGGUGGCCGAGUGGUCGAAGGCGGCGCACUGCUAAUGCGUUAUACGGCUUAAACCCGUAUCGAGGGUUCGAAUCCCUCCCUCUCCG